GUGAAUCAUCAAAUUUUUGAACGCAAAUUGCACUCUCUUGUAAUCCGGAGAGUAUGCCUGUUUGAGGGUCAGUUUAAAUAAAAAUCGGUGUGGUUGCCGCCUUUCGUGGUGACGCACCGGAUUUGCGUAGUCUUUCCUUCGUUUAAGUGAUCUAAUAUUUUGUAUGAUUUCUUUCGAACGUAUUUAAUUGUUUUUACGUACGUUUGCGAUAUCGAAA
rnacentral:misc_RNA from 1 species